GGAAUAUUGGACAAUGGGCGCAAGCCUGAUCCAGCCAUGCCGCGUGCAGGAUGACGGUCCUAUGGAAUAUAAACUGCUUUUAUACGAGAAGAAACAUCCCGACGUGUCGGGACUUUACGGUAUCGUAAGCAUAAGGCUCGGCCAACUCCGUGCCAGCAGCCGCGGUAAUACGGAGGAUCCAAGCGUUAUCCGGAACCAUUGGGUUUAAAGGGUCCGUAGGCGGUUUAGUAAGUCAGUGGUGAAAGCCCAUCGCUCAACGGUGGAACGGCCAUUGAUACUGCUAGACUUGAAUUAUUAGGAAGUAACUAGAAUAUGUAGUGUAGCGGUGAAAUACUUAGAGAUUACAUGGAAUACCAAUUGCGAAGGCAGGUUACUACUAAUAUAUUGACGCUGAUGGACGAAAGCGUGGGUAGCGAA
rnacentral:rRNA from 1 species